rnacentral:rRNA from 1 species
GACUCUCGGCAACGGAUAUCUCGGCUCUCGCAUCGAUGAAGAACGUAGCGAAAUGCGAUACCUGGUGUGAAUUGCAGAAUCCCGCGAACCAUCGAGUCUUUGAACGCAAGUUGCG